rnacentral:rRNA from 1 species
AGUGAACGCUGGCGGCGUGCCUAACACAUGCAAGUCGAACGAUGAUAGAGAGCUUGCUCUCUUGAUUAGUGGCGCACGGGUGAGUAACGCAUAGGUAAUGUGCCCCUUAGUUCGGGAUAGCCACUGGAAACGGUGAUUAAUACCGGAUACUCCUUCUCAUUAUAAGAUGAGUCGGGAAAGUUUUUCGCUAAGGGAUCAGCCUAUGUCCUAUCAGCUUGUUGGUGAGGUAAUGGCUCACCAAGGCUAUGACGGGUAUCUGGUUUGAGAGGAUGAUCAGACACACUGGAACUGAGACACGGUCCAGACUCCUACGGGAGGCAGCAGUGAGGAAUAUUGCACAAUGGAGGAAACUCUGAUGCAGCAACGCCGCGUGGAGGAUGACGCAUUUCGGUGUGUAAACUCCUUUUAAGAGGGAAGAUUAUGACGGUACCUCUUGAAUAAGCACCGGCUAACUCCGUGCCAGCCGCCGCCGUAAUAC